AUCCUGUUGACACCCUUCCGGCAAACCAGAGGGAAGCGAUUCACUUUAGCACUUCGAAUGAAGUGGCUGGAUGAGUAUUUGGCACACGCAUCAGGCUUUUUAGUACCUUUGUAAGCUUUGCAGAUGUAGCUUAUGAAGUUCUCAUAAUCCUGCAAUCACAGAAAAAACUGUGGUAAGUUCAGAGCCAAAAAAUAUCAAGCACACAAAAUACACUUCACUUCUCGUCUGCUAACUACAGUUCACAAGAAAAAUAAGAUUCCACAUUUGGUAAUCGCAUCAUACAUUUGACCCAAAAAAAUGGUAAGUCAAUUAAUUUUCUCCACGCUAAUCUAUGAUAACCCUAUAAAAACAUGUCUUCCUCAUUAGUUUAGUUAGCUAGAAUUUACAUUUGAAGAUGACCAAACUCUCUAAAUACACUAAAUCCAAAGUGUUGCACAACCGAAUUCCAAAUCAGUCAUAAGUAUGAAUGACUAACAAGUUAAUAUAGAGACAUCAUUCAUAAACAGAGAGUAAGAGAGCGUAAAAUUAGUCUAAAUAAGAACAGAGUAAAUUCUAAAAAAGA